GCUAAACGCGAAGAACCUUACCAGGCCUUGACAUGCAGAGAACUUUCCAGAGAUGGAUUGGUGCCUUCGGGAACGUCUGACACAGGUGCUGCAUGGCUGUCGUCAGCUCGUGUCGUGAGAUGUUGGGUUAAGUCCGUAACGAGCGCAACCCGUGUCCUUAGUUACCAGCACGUCAUGGUGGGCACUCUAAGGAGACUGCCGGUGACAAACCGGAGGAAGGUGGGGAUGGACGUCAAGUCAUCAUGGCCCUUAGGCCUGGGCUACACACGUGCUACAAUGGUCGGUACAGAGGGUUGCCAAGCCGCGAGGUGGAGCUAAUCUCACAAAACCGAUCGUAGUCCGGAUCGCAGUCUGCAACUCGACUGCGUGAAGUCGGAAUCGGCUAGUAAUCGCGAAUCAGAAUGUCGCGGU
rnacentral:rRNA from 1 species